rnacentral:rRNA from 1 species
UGGGGAAUAUUGCGCAAUGGGGGGAACCCUGACGCAGCCAUGCCGCGUGAAUGAAGAAGGCCUUAGGGUUGUAAAGUUCUUUCGGUAUUGAGGAAGGUUGAUGUGUUAAUAGCACAUCAAAUUGACGUUAAAUACAGAAGAAGCACCGGCUAACUCCGUGCCAGCAGCCGCGAUAAUACGGAGGGUGCGAGCGUUAAUCGGAAUAACUGGGCGUAAAGGGCACGCAGGCGGUUAUUUAAGUGAGGUGUGAAAGCCCCGGGCUUAACCUGGGAAUUGCAUUUCAGACUGGGUAACUAGAGUACUUUAGGGAGGGGUAGAAUUCCACGUGUAGCGGUGAAAUGCGUAGAGAUGUGGAGGAAUACCGAAGGCGAAGGCAGCCCCUUGGGAAUGUACUGACGCUCAUGUGCGAAAGCGUGGGGAGCAAACAGGAUUAGAUACCCUGGUAGUCCACGCUGUAAACGCUGUCGAUUUGGGGGUUGGGGUUUAACUCUGGCGCCCGUAGCUAACGUGAUAAAUCGACCGCCUGGGGAGUACGGCCGCAAGGUUA